rnacentral:rRNA from 1 species
UACGUAGGCAGCGAGCGUUGUUCGGAGUUACUGGGCGUAAAGGGUGUGUAGGCGGUUGUUUAAGUUUGGUGUGAAAUCUCCCGGCUCAACUGGGAGGGUGCGCCGAAUACUGAAUGACUUGGAGUGCGGGAGAGGAAAGUGGUGAAUUCCUGGUGUAGCGGUGAAAUGCGUAGAUAUCAGGAGGAACACCGGUGGUGUAAACGGCUUUCUGGACCGUAACUGACGCUGAGGCACGAAAGCGUGGGUAGCAAACAGG